rnacentral:misc_RNA from 1 species
ACGGAGAGAGAGAGGAUCAUCUUUGUUACGUUGGCUAAUCUGCUGGUUUUCACAAUACUUUCAGGUCGUUCGGGCUCAAAGAACGUCUUUUGUACUUUACGUUCACCCCGAAAUACGGAAGUACGUUGGCUCGUCCGCAGGUAGCCUCCUUGGGUUCACCCCGUCCUGUCAGACUCGGACAUUUCGGCUGCCGAUACCGAGCUGAGCUAUGUCAACCGUGGACGAGGUCUUUGACAGUUGGGAGGACAUCGAGGAAUCUGGGGUCCUGGAUAAAAAGUUAAAUAACCUCCAGUUGCACGCCUUGGAAGGACUGGAGGAAGUGAAGGCACCUAGGUUGUCGACGAAUCAUAAUCCCGAGACGAGGAUGAUUAUUCUGGGAGAAGAUGCCGUCCGGUCCCAGUACGUACCACCAAAGCCAACCGUUAAAAUCCUAAAGAGACCGACAAGAGAUUCUCAAGGUAGUGGCGACGGUCCUUUAAUGAACGGAGAUAGUAAACCUAAGCAACCGAUAAAGUCUCUGAAGCAGAGAGAACAGGAGUACGCAGAGGCAAGGAAAAGAAUCCUAGGAGAAGAGAGGAGUCCGGAGGAGAGGCCGGUCCAGGAGGUGAGCAAGGUGCAAUCGAAGGCAGCAGUUUCCGGAAGCAGUAGUAGUAGUAGUCUGCCUAUCAACGUAGUUCGCAUGCCCAUCGGACCGGACGGUACCCGAGGAUUCAACGUACGUAGGUAGCGCGCCAGUCAGGGACUUUCCCUCAUUACCCAUCUUUUACCUCUCCUCCUUGCUUCCUGUUACGGAGAGGAGGAGAGGCGGCUAUGAGGCCGACGGGAGUGACGAGCUUUGCGCUACUUAACAACCGGGAACUGUCUCCAACUGGCACUGCGCCCCGAGAGAAGGAAGGCUCGAUCCAUCGAGAAUAUUCGAGGCCGAGAACUAAGGCGCUUCCAGCAUCCAAUCGACUGGAUUCGCGUAAAGUUAUCACGUUCAAGUGUCCGUUUGACGCAAAUGAAUUGGCACCUUGAAAGAAUCAACGCGUACAUGGAUAAUGGCUUACCAUUGGUUGCGACGGUGCACUCUAAA